rnacentral:lncRNA from 1 species
CCAUUUGCCACAAUUCUUAUCCUUAUAUCCAGAUACUGUAUGAUAUCUGCGCUUUCUCUUUCUUUAACCAACUCUAAACCAAGCAAGGAGUCCUUCAAUUUUUCAUCUAACUUCAAAGAACCAGCCUGCCGUUCAGUAAUUACCAAUAUGUCAUCCACAUAUCAUCGAUAUAAGACCACAUUGUUUUCUAUAAAGGGAAUAAUACUCAUCUCCUUAUAUCUUACAAUCAGCUCCACUACAACGCCGGCCAUGGGACUUCCUAUAGGAACACCAACCAUUUGAUAGAAUAUAACGCAAUUAAAAAUGAGGUACAACCAAUGUAUGAUUAAGUGGCAAAUUCUCCUAACUAACUCUGGUUCACACUGGUCAUCAGGCAAGUAUUGUAACAAAAACCUAUAAAGAAAUAAACUUGCAGAUUCCAACUUAAUUGACGGAUAUAAAGACUCGAAAUCAUAAACUUGCAUAAUUUGUUCCAGAAGUGGCCCUCUUUCUAAAAGUUUAUCUAUCACUUGCCUGCAUUGUAGCCGAGCUGGUUGUGAGAUAUAAGGAGAUGAGUAUUAUUCCCUCAACAUACAAGUUAUUCCAUUUGGAAUAACUUGUAUGUUGAAGGUAAUCAAACGAUUUGUACUGAAGAGGGACUGAGAGCAGUCCGAAAACGUUUUGCAGG